rnacentral:rRNA from 1 species
UACGAAGGGGGCUAGCGUUGCUCAGAAUCACUGGGCGUAAAGCGCACGUAGGCGGAUCUUUAAGUCAGGGGUGAAAUCCUGGAGCUCAACUCCAGAACUGCCUUUGAUACUGGGGAUCUCGAGUCCGGAAGAGGUGAGUGGAACUCCGAGUGUAGAGGUGAAAAUUCGUAGAUAUUCGCAAGAACACCAGUGGCGAAGGCGGCUCACUGGCCCAUAACUGACGCUGAGGCACGAAAGCGUGGGGGAGCAAACAGGGA